rnacentral:rRNA from 1 species
UACAGGGGGUGCAAACGUUGCUCGGAAUUAUUGGGCGUAAAGCGCGCGUAGGCGGCUACUUAAGUCGGAUGUGAAAGCCCCUGGCUCAACUGGGGAAGUGCACCCGAAACUGAGCAGCUAGAGUACGAAAGAGGGUCGCGGAAUUCCCGGUGUAGAGGUGAAAUUCGUAGAUAUCGGGAGGAACACCGGUGGCGAAGGCGGCGACCUGG